UUUUUUUUUAAAUUUGGUGGUGUUAACGUCAGCAGUGUAUUCUAAUUUCCUCAAUUCAGAUAGCAGUGAUUCUACAAAAAAUAGUUACCUUGGAAUUUCUUGUGGCCAGCUACAUGAUGAUUUUUCAUAUUGAUUUCUAAUGAUUUUUUUAAACACAUAUGUGAAAUGACUUAGCUUAUAGUCCUUGUGGAAUAAAUUGUCUUGUCAGACAGUGGAAAAUAUGAACUUCUUCUCCCCAGCCAAUGUGUAUGCCAAAGAGAAUAACUAGUAAUAAGGGAAAUACCUGGUUAGGAUGUAAAAAAAUAUGCUAAUUACUUUUGAUUGGGAAAAGGAGAUUUUAAUGUAUUUAAUAUCUUCUGAUACAUUCAAGACACUUGCUAUUAGUAAUGAACAAGGAAAAUCAAGAGCAGCUGUACAUUCUGAGGAACUAGCUAUCAGAAACUGAGCUGAGAUUACUAAUAUGGAGCUUUUCAUAUCAUUCAAAUGGACAGCAGCCACUUUUCCCUCUAUUUUUAGGGCUUUCUUCAUUCUGGUAUUUGAGAAGUCGGAGUGAGACAAGAACUUGACAAAUUCUCAUAACCACUUCAAUAAUACCUUUAUUCUCAAACAUGCCAUGACAUUAAUUGUACUAAUAUUUCGCAAUGCUAAAGGAAUUUUCAUCAUCAUGUUUUAAAAGACUGUGCAUAAAUAAAUUGGAAAUGUUAAUUCCAGUGUACAGAUAAGAAAAACUAAGUAAAAUAAUUUUAUAUAUUUUAAUAGUGAGAUGUUCGAGAGCUGGCAUUACAUUCAUCAGUUCUCUUAUUCCCCAUCUGUUCCUUAAGCAUCUGCAUGUGCUGGUAUUUUUCUUUUUCCCCCAGCUGUGGGCAGAGAACAGAGGCAGAUGAGGGGAACAAGAAAACAGUGCUCGAGCACACAAAUUCCCUGACACUGGCUCAGGUUAUUGGGUGUUUGGGGAGCUGGCAGGAAGCAGCAUGGGACCAGUUGGAGCAGAGAUAACACAGGAGGAGCAGAGGGAGCAGGAUGCUUUGCAUCCUCUGUGUGAUGUGGGUUUAUGGAAGAAGAGUGUCACUGAGAUGAAACAGGCUCAAAUAGAGAUUGGCUUGGCAGGAGCCUGUCAAACUAGUUGCAUGCAAAGCUUUUAGACUUCAGAGAUGUUCCUGUUCUACCAUUCCCACCAUUUUCUACUCCAGCCUAUGUGAUCUGCAGCUGUGUGUUGAUCUGUCCUCUCUCAAUGCUCCUUUUUAGUCUAAUAUGAACUUUAUUGCUAUUUUCCUUUCCUCUUUUUCUCUCUUUGUUUCCUUAUUUCACUUUCAUUUGGUUUGAUCUUCUGAUUAUGUGCUUUCUUAUAUUAUCUUCACUGUUUUACUUUCCUAAUCAUUUCCUGGCAAAGCCCCUUCCAGCUGUAGGGAAAGAACAUACAUAGCUCAUUCAAUAUUUACUGACUGUCAUAUUUCCUCUGCUUCUGAGUUGUAUUGGCAAAUCCUUGUUUUGUCAGCUCCUGUGAGUAGGACUGACUGCUAUAUAUUGGAUAUUUAGAGAAGGGAGCUGUAUUUGCCUAGUUAUAAUCCUCUGUCACACAAGUACUUGAAAAAUUCCAUCGUGUGCAGUGCCAAGCUGCUCCUCCAGAGGCUCAAAGCUCUGUCAGCUCUCCCUAACUGGAGGCCAGGCAGCAGGUUAGACUUGCCCACAUCAGAUCACUUCACUGUGGCCAUUUAUUUCCAUAUGUUUGAGUCAAAUCAGUACAGGAUGUUUGGAAAAUCUCAGCCAUAAAGUUUUAAAUACAUAAUUUUAGCAACUCAGGUUCCCAAUGAUGAUCUUGGUUUCAUCUCUACACACUGAGUCUUAAAAAAGUGGGUGAGUUUGUGCAUAUACCUACAGAUAGCCCUGACUUGGGCUUCUUUUGUCUAUUCAUUACAUAAAUGGAAUUUUUUUUUCCUUAAAAUUACUUCUGAGUCAUUAUAAGUUAUUAUAUGAAGAAUUAUUAACAGAAAUAUAUUCUGAUUAUAAUAUUCUCCAAAGCAUAUAAAAAAUUUAAAAAUAGGCAUAUUUAAGCAAGUAAUUUAAUAAUAAAGCAUUAUUAAUACUAGGCAUCAGUAAAGAACCUAAGAGCAGAAUUGCCUUGCAGACCUUGAUUUUCUGACUGUAUUACUUGCAUGGCCACAUUAUUCAUUUGCUAUGGUCAAAAUGAAAAAAAGAACCUGGAAUUGUUUUCAUAGCCCAAGGAAAAUAUGUGAGCAGUAAUAAGAAGACUGGUCAUGUCAAAAUCUGGAAUCAUUCUUCAAAUUUGCUUUGAAAAUUAAGCUUUUAACACCAAGCAACUGGCUCUCUUAAAUAUCUUGUUUCAAGGAAAAUACUGCAAGCAAUAAAUUGCAGUAUCAAAUGGCCACUGUAACUAAAUCUUGUUCUUCCUUCAGUGGCCUCAGGACAAUUGGCCUAAAGUCUCCUUUAAAGAAAGGGGCUAUAAUUACUACUGCAAUUGUUUGCUUUGCCUCAGAUGUAGAAAAUGUGCUUCCUCCUCUUUUGUCCUUUUUAUGGCUAUUUUAGCUUUCAGUGUUUAACUGUUUAUGUCUAAGUAGAGUCCCUCUAAGGUCUAAAGACUGCAAGUGACUAACAUGCAAAUUGGCAGCUUUUCUGAUACGUUCAACAUCAAAAUUAAUUAAUAUUCUAAAGUAAAAUUUUGUGUUUGUUCUCAAUAUACAGAAAUAGUAAUGUUUACAUUACAAAUGAUCCACUGAUUAUACUUCUAAUGAGAUGAAAAAGCACACACUAAUUAAAAAUAUUAAAAAUCCUUUGGAGUUUGUUUUUACUGGAGAUUAAUACUCAACAUUUUGCAGGACAGAGGGUCUUGGCAGAUCUAAACAAAGCUGUUUCUACACAGUUGCUUCUACAAUAGAGAAAAGUGUUUUAUGAAUGUUAAAAAGAUCAACACUAACACCUAACAGAUGAGUGAUAUCAGGAGAACAUUUGCUAACAAUACUUGAUCUUAAAGAUCUGCUGAUACUUCAUGGAAAAGAUUUGAAAAAAAGAUUCAGCAUAGAUUAAAGAAAAAGGCUUCUGAAAACACAGAUUUCACAACUGCCUACAUUGUUUUAGUGGACUAAUUAAACAGAUCUCAUUCUCUGAAUUAGUUGUUCCACAUGUCAGUUUAUUUGGUUGUGGGUUCUUCUGUGAGACUGCAGGAUUUGGCCUCAGCAUUAUGAACAGACUUAUGUACACUGCAUUCUUAAAAUGCAUAUGCAGAAAUCUUUGAGUCAAAUAAUUAGAUUUACAUAUUUAAGUGAGUGUAAAUAGCAAGCACACUGUGAAAAGAUAAUUUGUGCAGAAACUUUCUGGCUUUUCUUGCUCCCUAAGAUGGCAAACCAGGCUUAAACAAUUUGUAACUGAAGAUGAAUAAGAAUUCAGAGGCAGAGAUCUGGAAGUUCAUUGUUUGUAAAAUAUUUAUUUUGCUACAGUGCAUGAAAGUAAUGGAUUUCAGGGGGCAUUAAAUGAUUCAUAUUCUCUUUAAAGGAAAAAAGUUCUUCUUGAUGUAGUAUGAAUUAUUUUAGAAAUGUAUUUUCUAAAAUCUGCUGUUAGCAGAGAGCAUCUCUAACUGCCCUAGGUACCCUCUGACUGCCAGCCCAGACAAGUGGAAGCAUGUCAGUGCCUUGGAUGUAUUCCUGUCUUUUUCACUGGGAGCUGAAGGCCAAUGAUGGUCUAAACUGAGGGGACUUAAACUUGCAUGUCUAAUUACUAAACUAUUGUGUCUACUUGAUGUGAUGCCAAAGGGAAAAUGGUUAAAAUCUUAGCAAGUAAAGCUCUGCUGGGUAGGAUUUGUGUGGGAAGGUUUGGGGGGUGGGGGGUGAUGCUACCAGGGUGGCUUCUGUGAAGCUUCCAGAAGCUUCUCCCGUGUCCAGUAGAGCCAAUGCCAGCCAGCUCCAAGAUAGACCUGCUCCUGGCCAAGACUGAGCUCAGCAGGAAUGAUGGUAGAGUCUCUGGGAGAAUGUAUUUAAUAACAGAAAAAGGGUUUCUGUGCAAGAGCAAUUGCAGCUGGAGAGGAGAGUGAAAAUAAGUGAGAGCAACAGCCCUGCAGACAGCAAGGUCAGUGCAGAAGGAGAGCAAGGAGGUGCUCCAGGCACCAGAGCUGGUUCCUCUGCAGCCUGGGCCCAUGGAGGAGACCUGCACUGGAGCAGGUGGAUGCUCAGAGGAGGCUGGAACCCUCACCUCUGGACCCACAGAGAGAGGAGCCCAUGCUGGAGCAGGCUUGCUGGCAGGACUUGUGAUCCCAUGGAGGGCUUAUGCUGGAGUAGCCUGUUCCUGAAGGACUGCACCCCAUGGAAUGGACCCACAUUGGACAAUGUAGAGAAGGACUGUGUCCCAUGGCAGGGAUCCCACCCUGGAGCAGGAAGAGUGUGAAGGAUUUCUCCUUGGGGAGGAAGGAGCAGCAGAAAUGAUGUGUGUGAGAUGAACUGACCACAGGCCACUUCUCUACCUCCAUCCCCUGUCUCCCUGUGCUCUUCUAGAGGUGACAGAGACACCAGGAGUGAAGUUGAGCCCAGGAAGAAGGAAGGGGUAGAGGAGAAGAUGUUUUAAGGUUUAAGAUUAUUUUCUCUCAUUACUCCUCUCUGAUUUGAUUGCUAAGAAAUCAAAUUUCCCCAAGCUGAAUUUGUUUUGCCCAAUAUGGUAAUUGGUGAGUGAUCUCUCCUGCCCUUAUCUCAACCCAUGAGCCUGACAUUAUAUUUUCUCUUCCCUGUCAAGCUGAGGAGGGAAGUGAUAGCACAGCUUUGGUAGGCACCUGGCAUCUAGCUGGGGUCAACCCACCACAGGUGAAAAUUUUAGAAGUGGAUUGAUCCUGUGCAUACAACCAUCUUCUUCUUGCUUGUAAAUUUGCCCCCUUUUUUGUGCAAUAUGAAAUAUUCAUCACUGGAUGAAUAUUUUCAUGAAUAGUUUGCCAAGUUUAUUUACUUUUCAUAUUUUUCAGGUAAAAUGGCUCUUAAGUUCCCAAGAAUAAGACUGGUAUUGUUCUUUUUCUGAAAUAGCUGUAACACUUCUGAGUUUUGGAAUUCAGAUUCCAUGUUUGACAACAGGACAAGCAUCUGCUCCUGUCUGAUAGUAUUUUAUUGCUUUUUAAUGAAUCAUUGAAUUUUCAGAUUCUUAAUAUUUUAACAAACAUACUCAGUAAAGAGAGCAUCCAUAUGGAACAUGGUCUGCUUCAGAGAUGAAAGAGAGUUUUUAGGCAAAUAUGUUUCCAUGCAGUUCUCCAAUGCAAAUAAUAGUGCUAUUUCAUUAGUAUGAAAAUAAGCUGAGGAACAUUAUUAGACACACAGAUAAUUCCAUGUCAAAUGUCAUGACUCCUGCCAUGAUAUUUUUAUAAAUUCGUUUUCAUUGCUCAUUUUGAGCAGCACCUGAGCAAAAAGUAAAGAAAAAGUAGCCUCAGACUAAACAGCAAAAAUUAAAUUUUGUAGUAUUUAGAACAUCCAUUCCUUCUUCUGAGUCAGGCAGAUGUUAUUUGGGGAAAAGCAGCACCCAUGUAGUACAAUACAAUGGACCAAAUCAAGUUUAUACACAUUAAAUUCAAGCUAGUGUUUCCUAAGUCUCAAGUGGUUCUCUAUACAAUAAUGAUCUUAAAGCAUACAUUUUCUGUAAAAGAAAUAUUUUCAGUGUAGCUAAUGCUAUUGCAAAACCUGUGUACUGAGGAGAGCUGUCUGAAAUUGUGCAGAAUAAUUUGCUGUUAUUACACAUCUUUAGCUGCUUUGCCCCUGUUUGUAAUCUCAGUUCUUUUUUUUUUCCCUAAACUACUGUAUAUGUGUUUGCCCUUAUAAAACAUGUCUGUGAGCAUAUUGCUGCUCUCUAAGUGCUUUGAGUCAAGUGUUUGCAAAUGUUUUCAGAGUGUGACCCACAUUUUUGCUGUACUUUAGGUUGCAGAGUCUGUGCCUUCCAGUUCUGACUUUAUAUCCUGCUUUUCUGCUUUAUCAAUACUUCAGCUGUUGCUCAGAAGGAAAAUAAAUAUGUCAGGAAUAUUUUGUUCCUCCUAGUGCAGUUCAGCAGUUGCAGAGGGCCCAUUGCUAUCAGAUAAUAGCAAGCUUAUCUAGAAAUUUCAUAGCUCAGCACUGGUGAAGCACAGAUGACAUUAUGAGACUCAGUGCCAU
rnacentral:lncRNA from 1 species